UUAGAGACUCGGUUUCCAAUUGGGCUUUUUCAAAAUUAACGUUCUCACUCUCUCACCCUCAGUCUUACAUCUUCAUUUCCCACACUCACAGAACUCUCUCAUUCUCUCAUUUUCUCUCUAUCUCUCACACGGCCUCUCACAUUCACACACGCUCACACACACAGAGAACCCCGCCGGCGUCGACGAGCAGAGCCCAGCCCAGCCCAGCGACGACGCCGACGAGGCUGAGCCCAGCCAUCUGCUCCUCUCCUCAUCGAUCUCUCUCUCCCUCACUAGGAGAUCCUUUAUCCUUUUCUCCCUCUCUCUCAUUACCACCCCCAUACCCAUUCAUUUUUCCUCACCAUACCCAUACCCAUUCCGAUUUUGGUUGAUGACAUUCAACUCUCUUUGGCUGAAGUCAAAUUUGCUUGGUUACCCAUUCCGAUUUUGCUUGAUGACAUUGUUGCUUGGAUAGUGCAUAUUGUUGCUGCCAUCCUUAAGAGUUUCCAAAUUUCUGCCUUCAGUAUGGAUGCUGCAAAUGCUGGACGGAUUGACCAUACACGGCCUGGUCCUAUUG